rfam:Burkholderia phymatum STM815 chromosome 1, complete sequence.
GUACGUGUGCGGCGAUGCCGCCGCGUCACCAUUCUCCUCUUGUCGUUGUUGCUCCGGGGCCCAUAGCCCCGGUUUUUUUUG